UACGUAGGGGGCAAGCGUUGUCCGGAAUCAUUGGGCGUAAAGCGCGUGUAGGCGGUUCAGUAAGUCUGCUGUGAAAGUCCAGGGCUCAACCCUGGGAUGCCGGUGGAUACUGCUGGGCUAGAGUGCGGAAGAGGCGAGUGGAAUUCCCGGUGUAGCGGUGAAAUGCGCAGAUAUCGGGAGGAACACCAAUUGCGAAGGCAGCUCGCUGGGACGUUACUGACGCUGAGACGCGAAAGCGUGGGGAGCAAACAGG
rnacentral:rRNA from 1 species